UACGGAGGAUCCAAGCGUUAUCCGGAAUCAUUGGGUUUAAAGGGUCCGUAGGCGGUUUUGUAAGUCAGUGGUGAAAGCCCAUCGCUCAACGGUGGAACGGCCAUUGAUACUGCAAGACUUGAAUUAUUAGGAAGUAACUAGAAUAUGUAGUGUAGCGGUGAAAUGCUUAGAUAUUACAUGGAAUACCAAUUGCGAAGGCAGGUUACUACUAAAUAUAUUGACGCUGAUGGACGAAAGCGUGGGGAGCAAACAGGAUAUAA
rnacentral:rRNA from 1 species